CUUUACGCUUUGAGAAUGUUUGAUAAUCCUAGCUCGACGAGACCUUUUGUAAGUUAAGGAAUAGUCUUUACCCAUUAAAUAUCUAAGCAUAAAG
rnacentral:snoRNA from 1 species